GUAUGAUGAAGGUCUUCGGAUUGUAAAGUACUGUCUUUGGGGAAGAAUGACUGAUUUGAAAAUAUUGAGUCAGUAUGACGGUACCCAAGGAGGAAGCCCCGGCUAACUACGUGCCAGCAGCCGCGGUAAUACGUAGGGGGCAAGCGUUGUCCGGAAUUAUUGGGCGUAAAGGGCGCGUAGGCGGAUCGUUAAGUCUGGUGUGAAAGAUCAGGGCUCAACCCUGAGAGUGCAUCGGAAACUGGGGAUCUUGAGGACAGGAGAGGAAAGUGGAAUUCCACGUGUAGCGGUGAAAUGCGUAGAUAUGUGGAGGAACACCAGUGGCGAAGGCGACUUUCUGGACUGUAACUGACGCUGAGGCGCGAAAGCGUGGGGAGCAAACAGGAUUAGAUACCCUGGUAGUCCACGCCGUAAACGAUGAGUGCUAGGUGUAGAGGGUAUCGACCCCUUCUGUGCCGCAGUUAACACAAUAAGCACUCCGCCUGGGGAGUACGGCCGCAAGGUUGAAACUCAAAUGAAUUGACGG
rnacentral:rRNA from 1 species